AACCCACCUAAGGUCACAAAGACUGAUUAGACAAAGCAGUGGUUAAACAGAAGUGGAGACAGCAAGUGAAUCAAGAUACCUUUAGGCGUUAGGGCCAUGGCCCUCAAAGUGAACUUACAGCUUCUACACCA